UACGGAGGGCGCGAGCGUUGUCCGGAUUUAUUGGGUUUAAAGGGUGCGUAGGCGGGAUGCCAAGUCAGCGGUAAAAAUGCGGUGCUCAACGCCGUCGAGCCGUUGAAACUGGCGUUCUUGAGUGGGCGAGAAGUAUGCGGAAUGCGUGGUGUAGCGGUGAAAUGCAUAGAUAUCACGCAGAACUCCGAUUGCGAAGGCAGCAUACCGGCGCCCUACUGACGCUGAGGCACGAAAGCGUGGGUAUCGAACAGG
rnacentral:rRNA from 1 species